rnacentral:rRNA from 1 species
UACGGGGGGGGCAAGCGUUGUUCGGAAUUACUGGGCGUAAAGGGCUCGUAGGCGGCCAACUAAGUCAGACGUGAAAUCCCUCGGCUUAACCGGGGAACUGCGUCUGAUACUGGAUGGCUUGAGUUUGGGAGAGGGAUGCGGAAUUCCAGGUGUAGCGGUGAAAUGCGUAGAUAUCAGGAGGAACACCGGUGGCGAAGGCGGAUCUCUGGGCCUUACCUGACGCUGGAGGCGCGAAAGCUAGGGGAGCGAACAGG